AUUUAUAUUUAAAUUAAUUAUAUUAUUGUAUUAAAUAUGUUGUAUUUAUUUUUUUUAUAUAUUUAUCAUAAAAGAAUUAAUUAAUUAAUUUUUUUCAUUAUUUCGUCCAAGCAAAUUCUAUGAUAAGAUUACGUGGUGGCAGAGAUCAUAUUUGGAUGCCUUUACAUAUGGAUUCAAGUACAACGAAUGUAGCUUCUUUCAAUGGAAAAUUUCCAAAAAAAGUGUUUUAUCCACUAAAAGAUGUUCUUUUUCAAGAGAAGG